rnacentral:tRNA from 1 species
CGGGGUGUGGCGUAGCAAAUGUCGCGUCUCGUUCGGGACGAGAAGGUGGGAGGUUCAAAUUCUCUCACCCCGA